CUCCUACGGGAGGCAGCAGUGGGGAAUAUUGCACAAUGGGCGAAAGCCUGAUGCAGCAACGCCGCGUGAGCGAAGAAGGCCUUUGGGUCGUAAAGCUCUGUCCCUCAGGAAGAAACAAAUGACGGUACUGAGGGAGGAAGCCCCGGCUAACUACGUGCCAGCAGCCGCGGUAAUACGUAGGGGGCAAGCGUUAUCCGGAAUUAUUGGGCGUAAAGAGUAUGUAGGUGGUUUUCUAAGCGCAGGGUUUAAGGCAAUGGCUUAACCAUUGUUCGCCUUGUGAACUGGAAGACUUGAGUGCAGGAGAGGAAAGUGGAAUUCCUAGUGUAGCGGUGAAAUGCGUAGAUAUUAGGAGGAACACCAGUGGCGAAGGCGGCUUUCUGGACUGUAACUGACACUGAGAUACGAAAGCGUGGGGAGCAAACAGGAUUAGAUACCCUGGUAGUCCACGCCGUAAACGAUGAGCACUAGGUGUCGGGGUCGCAAGGCUUCGGUGCCGCAGUUAACGCAUUAAGUGCUCCGCCUGGGGAGUACGUUCGCAAGAAUAAAACUCAAAGGAAUUGACGGGGACCCGCACAAGCAGCGGAGCAUGUGGUUUAAUUCGAAGCAACGCGAAGAACCUUACCAGAGCUUGACAUCCUUCUGACCGGUCCUUAAUCGGGCCUUUCUUCGGACAGAAGAGACAGGUGGUGCAUGGUUGUCGUCAGCUCGUGUCGUGAGAUGUUGGGUUAAGUCCCGCAACGAGCGCAACCCUUGUCAUUAGUUGCCAUCAUUCAGUUGGGCACUCUAGUGAGACUGCCGGGGAUAACUCGGAGGAAGGUGGGGAUGACGUCAAAUCAUCAUGCCCCUUAUGUUCUGGGCUACACACGUGCUACAAUGGUCGGUACAACGAGAAGCAAGACCGUGAGGUGGAGCAAAUCUUAAAAACCGAUCCCAGUUCGGAUUGCAGGCUGCAACUCGCCUGCAUGAAGUCGGAGUUGCUAGUAAUCGCAGAUCAGAAUGCUGCGGUGAAUGCGUUCCCGGGUCUUGUACACACCGCCCGU
rnacentral:rRNA from 2 species